rnacentral:misc_RNA from 1 species
GAAAACUACUCAAUAUUAAUAUCUUACUCUACAAGAAACAUGUACAUAACGAGCAAGCUCUUCAAAUAUACACUAGCAAUCUCUAAUGUCUCAACUCAAGUUCCUGCUGGCAAUAAAAAUACAAGGUUAAAUUAAACAAAGAGGAACGGUUAGUUCAUUCUACCCUGAAUACAUACCCCAUUAUAUAUUGGGAAUCUACAAAUACAAGUACAGUAGCCGACGCACACUAUACACAGAGUCUAAAGCAACUCCAAACACCAAUAAAGACCACAAGAAGACUUGCAACCACAAGAACCUUGGACAUGUAAACGUGUGAUGAACUUGAGAGCUUUGUAGCGGACUUAAAGGACACAUCAAGACUUUCUUCAACUGGAGAGUCAUCUGCAUCUUUCACUUGAGUGCUCAACUCAUCAGUUUCCCCAACAAGAUCUUUAAUUGUUGUAGUAUCACUGGUGGUAGAACUAUGUUCAUCAGAGGCUUUCUCACCCUCAGCCACUGCUUCAUGAAUUUCUGCCCCCUCACUAGAAUCAGAGCGCAUGCGACACUCAACUGGUCCGACUUGCAUUUUCAUAUGUAAACGUAUUCUUCUGUGAGCAGUACCCUGUUGUCUAGACUGUGUGUUGUCAGGUUGGUUGAACUGCGUGUCAUCAAGUUGAUUAUGCAUUUGCCUGGUCCUGAGUUUUAUUCCAGUUCCUGAGCCAGAUUCAGUGCUUGCUACAUUAUUGCGAACACCGGAUUGUUCUACUUUUAGGAAGUUCGGGACCUGACUUCCACCAAUACUAGCAGGAUAACCAUAAUGUCCAGGGUAGGUAUUCUGAAAGAAACCUAGAUUUCCUACAGCGUAAUCAUUGCCAACAUAAGAUAAACCUAGUGGACUGCGCGCCUUUAGCGCUGUAGCUUCAAGGGAAUUAACCUCUCUCUUAACUGCAGCCUCUCGAUCAAAAUUGUCCCACAGCACCUCAGGAUCAAAGAAGUCUGGCUCAACCUGGAAUAAAAAGAAAAGCAGCACAGAUCAUGUACUUACAGAACUUUCUAACCAAGCGACACGGAUGAAUGAUGCAAUACAUGGUUCCACUCACCAGCCCUUGGGUAACUUCUGCUUCUGACUCACUACAUGAUCCAGAGUCCUUAAUCAUCGGGCCAGUUAUGCUGCAAUUUUUUGUGUCAAUAUGAUGUGAUGCCAAUUCUUGUCCAGAAUCUUCACAUGAAAACUCAUCUGAGUUGACGAGUACUGAGUUCAAAAAGUCAUUAAUAUCAAGAGCAUUUGUUCCAUAUGGAAACUGGACAUCUUUUUGAUAGCCAAACAUGUCAUUAUUCAAGGGGGCCUGCAAAUAAGAAGAUCCAAGUUCCGCCUGCAUCUGUGAGUGCAAUGGGGAGAAGAUCUUCCAAUCUGGCUGCGAUGACGGGUCAUAAAAAUUUCCCAACUCCUUCUCUAGAUCCUGAACCGGCGGUAUGGAUGUUAUGUCCAACAUUUGAUCUUCAGUAUCAUCAGCAAUACAGCUAUUGCUGUGACUCUCAAUGGGUAAUUGUUUGCCAUACAUUUCGCCUUUGGAAAACUUUGCUGCAUAGCUUUUAUCACAAUCAUUUAAAGGUGGUAUGACCGUUAAUGGAGUGGCUGCCUCUGAUAAUUCAUCUUCAGCAGGUGACUUGUCAACUGAGGCAUUCUGUUCCGCAUCUAAAUUGGAAUUGUCAACAUGCUCAUCCUGCUUCAAAUCAUUCUUCCUAAAAAGACGACAAAGCACAAAGGCACCCUGACCAGGAUGUGAUCCAUCCAAUGACUUUUCAGUUGCACGAUAUUCAUGAAUCACCCAAUGAGUCCUCUUGCCUUCAGGAGCUCGACCAAUGUAGUAUACCAAGGUCUUCUUCAUCCCAAUUUUUGAGCCCUUCUUAGUAACAAUGUUUCUAUCUUUACCAGUGGCUUUCCAGUAGCCUCGUUCUGUUGCUCGGUUCAGUCGCUGCCCAUUUUGAUACUUACGAUCCUUUGGGCAGAAGAAGAACCACUCGUUGUCGUGCGACUCUACCACAGACAAAUCAGGUAAGUCCCAAGGCUCGAGUUUACAGAUAUCAACUUCUCGAAUAACGCUGACCUGACUAUCAGCACCGUUGAUCUUCAACCUCAGAUAAUGAUUCACCAACUCCUCAUCUGUCGGCCGGAAACGGUAUCCCACCGGCAGAGUAUUCAACGGCGGUAUACCCAUCUGUUUAUCCACCGGAAGUACGGCGAUCGGAUUUUCUCCAGGAAGUACGGCCAUCAUUUACAGUAGACAAAAAAAGAUGCAAAGUUUCGAGAUGUGAUGAAAAAAAAAAGUGAAAAAAGCAAAAAAGCCGAUGAACUGACGAUUUAUAUAAUAAAAAAAAGUAAAAGUAUUGAAAGGAGAUCUGAAAAAUUCUUAGGAAUUAGAGAAGAUAUUCUGAAGUGAAGUUUUUC